UUUAGGAUGUAAAAAGAAAAAGCUAGAGAACUACGAGCUGUAAGAGCUUAAAACUCAAAAGGCUUGGCGGUGCUGUAUUAUAGUUUAGGGGAGCUUGCCUCAUAAGCGAUGAUCCACGAGAGACCUGACCUUUUCUAAUAUAUGUCUGUAUACCGUCGUCGUCAGUCAACUUUUUAGAAGACAGAAGUAGGCAAGCAGAUUCUUAACUGAAGAAGCGUAAUCAUAUUUUUUAAGUAAAAUGUAUUGGUCUUAGCAUGGAUGUCAGAUCGAGGUGCAGCUAACGAAAAGGGGUAAGGUGAGCUACAAUAAAAGAUUUAUUAUACGGAAGAUACACCUGCAAAGGGUAGAUGAAGGCGGACUUAAAAGUAAAAGCAAGAGAUAAAAAUUGGUUGAAUAAGUAAAUCAGUGCGUACAUAUCGCCCGUCGCUCUCGUUAGAAAAUGAGAUAAGUCGUAACAAAGUAGGGGUACUGGAAAGUGUUCCU
rnacentral:rRNA from 1 species